rnacentral:rRNA from 1 species
UUCGGUUAAGUCCGGCAACGAGCGCGACCCUCGUUUCCAGUUGCCAGCGGGUAAUGCCGGGGACUCUGGAAAGACAAACCUCUUGUUGAGGUGGGAAGGUGGGGACGACGUCAAGUCAGUAUGGCCCUUACGACCAGGGCUGCACACGUGCUACAAUGCCCGGUACAAUGGGAUGCAAUAUCGCGAGAUUGAGCCAAUCCAUAAAGCCGGGCCCAGUUCGGAUUGGAGUCUGCAACUCGACUCCAUGAAGUUGGAAUCGCUAGUAAUGGCGUAUCAGCAACGACGCCGUGAAUACGUUCCCGGGCCUUGUACACACCGCCCGUCACAUCAUGAAAGCCGGUUCUGCCCGAAGUACAUGAGUCAACCGCAAGGAGACAGUGUCCUAAGGUGGGGCUGGUAAUUGGGAUGAAGUCGUAACAAGGUAGCCCGCCGUA